CCCAAUCCGGGAAACUCGCGUUACGGUGAAUAAAAAUAAUUGGGGUAACAUAAAAAAGCAACAGGAAUGAUCGAUGGUUUGGUAGGUAGGUAGAUCGUGAUCGGCAGCAGCGGUGGCAGCGGCGGCGGCGACGACGUCAUACGGUUGUAAUUGGAGUCGGUGGAGGGGAAGCUGGCGAUUAGGAGAUGAGGAACAAGCUUUGAACUCGAUUCCCGGCGCGAGAGUGCUAGUGUUGUCUGCAUUGAAGCCUGAACAAUGGAACAAUUUGUCACUCAACACAAGUUUCAGAAUUCUAUGAUCAGUGAGUCACUCAUGGGGAUUGCACUUACAAUCACUGUUCUUCCAGCCCAAGAUGUGCCUCUCUCGAUCGAAGACAACUUGAAGGCCGCUCAGGAAAUUUUCUGCAACAAAGCGUAUCAGAAUGUGCCAAGAAUUAACAAAGAGUGGUUAUUUAAGUCUUAAAUUUCUUCAAACAUGUUCAAUUAUCAAAAGCUUACGUCCAAAGCUUUUGAUACGAUCGAUAUUCACAAUAGUCAGGCAGUAGCCGACCAAUGACUUCUGCAUAAGACAGCGAGGAUCAUACUUUCCACGGCUUAUCAGAAAUAAACAUAAACAGGAUAAUCAUGUAGUAACCUCUGAGUGAAGCAUAAUGACUGGAUCGUGUACAGGAAAGAUGCUUCCCCCGUUUGUUGUGAAAUUUAUGUCAGGUAGCGAAACCGAAGUUUGUGUCGGGCUGCAGAAUAAAGCAUAUUUUAGAUGAUGCCCUUUGGAUGAGAUGCAAAUGGAUGUGUUACCUCAGCUUGUAACAAUAUUUGAAAGUAACAUUUGAGCCAAUGUUGAGUUUUCACUAGUCGAAUAACAACACUAGUAAACGAUUCUUCUUC